rnacentral:rRNA from 1 species
GACGAACGCUGGCGGCGUGCUUAACACAUGCAAGUCGAACGAAGAGCGAUGGAAGCUUGCUUCUAUCAAUCUUAGUGGCGAACGGGUGAGUAACGCGUAAUCAACCUGCCCUUCAGAGGGGGACAACAGUUGGAAACGACUGCUAAUACCGCAUACGAUCUAAUCUCGGCAUCGAGGAUAGAUGAAAGGUGGCGUCUACAUGUAAGCUAUCACUGAAGGAGGGGAUUGCGUCUGAUUAGCUAGUUGGAGGGGUAACGGCCCAGAAAGGCGAUGGUCAGGAGCCGGUAUGGGAAGGUGAACGGCCACAUUGGGACUGAGACACGGCCCAGACGCCUACGGGAAGCAGCAGGGGGGGAGCUUCCGCAAAAGACGGAAGACUGACGGAGAAGCGGCGAGGGAGCGAUGAAGGCCUUCGGGUUGGGAAGCUCAGUUAAUCGGGACGAAAAGCCUUCUUGCGAAUAGUGAGAAGGAUUGACGGUACCGGAAUAGAAAGCCACGGCUAACUACGUG